rnacentral:lncRNA from 1 species
AAAUAAUGCCAAGUUGCUCUUACCUGGCAAGUGGAUGGGAUUGACAAAUAAUGGCAAUUUGAUGUGCUUUCUAGAAGAUCUGAAGUUUGGAAAGCUUAACUUCCUCAAUCUGUUCUGAUGAAAUAUCUCUCCACUGGCUGUUCUCAAUUGCUAUGGAAAGGUUAAGAAAGGUCUUUUAGGGAGAAGAUUGUCUGGAGAAGUCACGUUGCUGUUGAAAACUGAAGAAUUUGACUUGAUCCACCCUGCCGAGGAUCUUCGGGCCAGUCCUGAUUUGCCCUCACUGUACUCAUGCCUGCUUCUUUAUUCAUGGUAUGAAUUUUGUAAGUAACAGGCAUAUUGUGAAAAAGGAGUUGCUGGAGAAGGGUCCUUUGCUUUUUUUUCUGCAAUCACUGCUGAAGAUGGCUCUGAACUUUGAAUGUAGCUUCAGAAAAGAACUUCACAAAAAUUAUAGGAAGUUCCCAAACACCUGAUGCUUAAGAAAGAAUGCUGUGCAACUACUGCUGAGAUCUAAAAGGCAAGCCAAGAUCCCAGAUCAAAUCCCAGAUAUGAGUACUACCUUCUUGCCAAGUAUGAAAUUCUAUACUGUGGUGGCAAUAUUUCUAAUCAAGAAAUGUUGGACUAAAGAAGCAUCUCCCAUAUACUAUGUGAAUGUUGAAGAUGAUAACGUGUUAGAGCAGCAGGGUGCAGGAGUGCAGUUCAUCAAAGCCAUUGUAUUGAUGCUGAUGUGUAAACUGCCUGGCAUGGGAUACCGCGGAGUAACAAAGGCAAAUGCUUCAAAAACUGCCUCUCCUGCCUCCAUCAAUGUUUGCUGAGGAAAUCUGCAUUCAGAAGGAUGUUUGUGAGAAGAAAACAUGAUAUGUGGGUUUACAUGAGUGUUUGAAUUAAAA